rnacentral:rRNA from 1 species
UACGUAGGCAGCAAGCGUUGUUCGGAUUUACUGGGCGUAAAGGGUGUGUAGGCGGUUCUUUAAGUUUGGUGUGAAAUCUCCCGGCUCAACCGGGAGGGUGCGCCGAAUACUGAGGGACUCGAGUGCGGGAGAGGAAAGUGGAAUUCCUGGUGUAGCGGUGAAAUGCGUAGAUAUCAGGAGGAACACCGGUGGUGUAGACGGCUUUCUGGACCGUAACUGACGCUGAGACACGAAAGCGUGGGUAGCAAACAGG